GUACAUAUAUGUAUUAUCCCCAUAUAUAUAUAUACAACAUAUAUUUAAUUAUCUAGGACAUUAUAUGUAUA
rnacentral:tRNA from 1 species